rnacentral:rRNA from 1 species
UGGUGCAUGGCUGUCGUCAGCUCGUGUCGUGAGAUGUUGGGUUAAGUCCCGCAACGAGCGCAACCCUUGUUUUUAGUUGCCUUUUAUGGAACUCUAAAAAGACUGCCGGUUAUAAACCGGAGGAAGGUGGGGAUGACGUCAAGUCAGCAUGCCCCUUACACCCUGGGCUACACACGUGCUACAUUGGGCGAGACAAUGAGAUGCAAAUCUGUGAAGACUAGCUAAUCUAUAAACUCGUUCUAAGUUCGGAUUGUAGGCUGCAACUCGCCUACAUGAAGGUGGAAUCGCUAGUAAUCGCUGGUCAGCUAUACAGCGGUGAAUUCGUUCCCGGGCCUUGUACACACCGCCCGUCACACCAUGGAAGCUGGUUAUACCCGAAGUCAUUACUCUAACCAUUUGGGGGAGGGUGCCUAAGGUAGAAUUAGUGACUGGGGUGAAGUCGUAACAAGUAACCUAC